rnacentral:rRNA from 1 species
ACGCACGCUGGCGGCGUGCCUAAUACAUGCAAGUUGAGCGCUGAAGGUUGGUACUUGUACCAACUGGAUGAGCAGCGAACGGGUGAGUAACGCGUGGGGAAUCUGCCUUUGAGCGGGGGACAACAUUUGGAAACGAAUGCUAAUACCGCAUAAAAACUUUAAACACAAGUUUUAAGUUUGAAAGAUGCAAUUGCAUCACUCAAAGAUGAUCCCGCGUUGUAUUAGCUAGUUGGUGAGGUAAAGGCUCACCAAGGCGAUGAUACAUAGCCGACCUGAGAGGGUGAUCGGCCACAUUGGGACUGAGACACGGCCCAAACUCCUACGGGAGGCAGCAGUAGGGAAUCUUCGGCAAUGGACGAAAGGCUGAACGAGCAACGCCGCGUGAGUGAAGAAGGUUUUCGGAUCGUAAAACUCUGUUGGUAGAGAAGAACGUUGGUGAGAGUGGAAAGCUCAUCAAGUGACGGUAACUACCCAGAAAGGGACGGCUAACUACGUG